UACGAAGGGGGCUAGCGUUGCUCGGAAUCACUGGGCGUAAAGGGUGCGUAGGCGGGUUUUUAAGUCAGGGGUGAAAUCCUGGAGCUCAACUCCAGAACUGCCUUUGAUACUGAAGAUCUUGAGUUCGGGAGAGGUGAGUGGAACUGCGAGUGUAGAGGUGAAAUUCGUAGAUAUUCGCAAGAACACCAGUGGCGAAGGCGGCUCACUGGCCCGAUACUGACGCUGAGGCACGAAGGCGUGGGGAGCAAACAGG
rnacentral:rRNA from 1 species